AACGAACGCUGGCGGCAGGCUUAACACAUGCAAGUCGAACGCCCCGCAAGGGGAGUGGCGCACGGGUGAGUAACGCGUGGGAAUAUGCCCUUCGGUUCGGAAUCACAAAGGGAAACUUGUGCUAAUACCGGAUACGAUCUACGGAUGAAAGAUUUAUCGCCGAGGGAGUAGCCCGCGUAGGAUUAGCUAGUUGGUGAGGUAAUGGCUCACCAAGGCGACGAUCCUUAGCUGGUCUGAGAGGAUGAUCAGCCACACUGGGACUGAGACACGGCCCAGACUCCUACGGGAGGCAGCAGUGGGGAAUAUUGGACAAUGGGGGAAACCCUGAUCCAGCCAUGCCGCGUGAGUGAUGAAGGCCUUAGGGUUGCAAAGCUCUUUCGCCAGGGAAGAUAAUGACGGUACCUGGAAAAGAAGCCUCGGCUAACUCCGUGCCAGCCGCCGCGGUAACAC
rnacentral:rRNA from 1 species